rnacentral:tRNA from 1 species
UCUCUGAUAUCUACGGAUGCAAGGGUUCGAAUCCCUUAGCUCUCA